GGUUAUAAAAGCCAGUUGUAAGAUGUCUUAUCCCUUUGAAUUACUGUAGGAAAAAAUCUGCAUGAGAAGCUUUCAGUAAGCACACAGUCAAUGGGACUUGGCAUCUGCUGGAGUGGAAGACUGUACCCCAGUGGAUGGUAACAAAUCUCCUCGUCAAAACCAUGAAGUAGCAGGAAUCUCCUCGGAGAGCAAUGUAUCACAACAUUUUUCAAGAUGAUUUCCAAAUCGAAGAUGACUUCCAAGGAACAGCGAGGAUGUAAUCUUGGAGCCAAUCAAACCAAUGGCAGAAAUCCCACUUUCUGCAUGAUCUUCUUAAUGGAGCCUCUGAAAUUUUGAAGCUUCAUAUAUUAUGGUUAAAAGCUCUUAUCCUAUCAGCUCAAGUGAAUCAAGGUGGGAGGAGGUGAAGCAAUUGGAGCGGGCAGUUUUUAAGGCUGCACUGAGUAUAAGGGGAGUUAAGUGGAGACAAGCCCCAGACAGAACCAGUGGACCUGGUGUCACAUCUAACAGCUGUGUGAAGCAGUGCCCUAUCCCCUGGCAUAGCCAGAAGGAGAUGUGGAAGGAGGAAAUUCAAAGAGGAGGCAGAUGUGGCAGAUGUCUUAGCACAAAGCAGUGAGGGGACCCAGCAGCAGCUUCCCACCAUUGUGAACAGACCUUUAUACCCAAUUUCUGGAAGGACAGCUUUCCCAGCGUAAUAACAAGUUAAAUUGUUUUUCUUUUCUUGUCUCUUAUCGUGGUGUCUUGAUGCACGUAGUUUUCAUCACUGGCCUAAGUGGGCUCUCCCUGGACGUUACUGCCAAUGAGUUGAGCAGCUUAAGGCGAAGUUUCACAUUCUGGAGAAUUUCUCUGUGUGUAAUGCACAUAUAUUAUAGGAAGUUGUUGUGUGUUGUUUUUUUUUUUAAAUCAAGUAGAAAUAAAGCCUUAUCUAUCACCA
rnacentral:lncRNA from 1 species